AAAUUGAGCCGAAUGGGUCGAGCCGGUUGAACCGGGCCCAAACCAGGCCCGCGGGCCCAACCAGCCCAGUAUAUAAAUGAGCUAAAGCUCAUUUUCUGCCUUAGAACACAACAGAAGCAGCGUAAAUGCAUGGAGAAGAAGAGAAUGAAUUCCAAAACCUAGCUUGAUCUUCUUUCUUUGAUAACUUUUGAUCCGGAGCUCUGAUUGACGAGCCGUUUGCGGCCACGCAUCGGGCUCGUUGAGUUCUUCAAUUCUAUUCAAAUAAAACAGGGUCCACUAGACUUGAUUUCUUGUGGGUAUUGCCCAAGAAUCAGUGGGUAAAGGUAGUGUGUAUGUGAAUGUUGAUGCUUGUUGGAGGCUUGUUGGUGAUCAAGCUUGGUUUGGGGCUGUUUGACA